rnacentral:rRNA from 1 species
ACUCCUACGGGAGGCAGCAGUGGGGAAUAUUGCACAAUGGGCGCAAGCCUGAUGCAGCCAUGCCGCGUGUAUGAAGAAGGCCUUCGGGUUGUAAAGUACUUUCAGCAGUGAGGAAGGCGGGUACGUUAAUAGCGUGCUUGUUUGACGUUAGCUGCAGAAGAAGCACCGGCUAACUCCGUGCCAGCAGCCGCGGUAAUACGGAGGGUGCGAGCGUUAAUCGGAAUUACUGGGCGUAAAGCGCAUGCAGGUGGUUUGUUAAGUCAGAUGUGAAAGCCCGGGGCUCAACCUCGGAAUUGCAUUUGAAACUGGCAGACUAGAGUACUGUAGAGGGGGGUAGAAUUUCAGGUGUAGCGGUGAAAUGCGUAGAGAUCUGAAGGAAUACCGGUGGCGAAGGCGGCCCCCCUGGACAGAUACUGACACUCAGAUGCGAAAGCGUGGGGAGCAAACAGGAUUAGAUACCCUGGUAGGAUAGCG